rnacentral:sRNA from 1 species
AAUCCUGCAACAAGAAGCCAGGUAUUCUGAAGGUGAAAGAUACCAGAGAUUCUCAAAGAUGCGAGUUUUCUGUGUGGGACUACUCCUUGUCAGUGUGACCUGGGCAGCACCAACAUUUCAACCACAGACUGAGAAAACUAAGCAAAGCUGUGUGGAAGAGCAGAGGGCUCCUCAAGCCUCUCUACUACAAAACUCUGGGUCCCAGAAUCUUCCUGAUCCCCAUCCCAUGCCUCGGCCCACAUCUCGCUCUGCUUCAGGACCUGUGGCUGCAGCAGGAAGAAAAAAACAAAGACAAUAUUGGUUUUCACCAUUUGGGCAAGAGAAUAAAUCAAGAGCUAUCGUCUAAAGAAAAUAUUGUCCAGGAAAGAAAGAAAGAUUUGUCCCUUUCUGAAGCCAGUGAGAAUAAGGGAAGUAGUAAAUCUCAAAAUUAUUUCACAAAUAGACAGGGACUGAAUAAAGAAUAUAGUAUCAGUAACAAAGAGAAUACUCACAAUGGCCUGAGGAUGUCAAUUUAUCCUAAGUCAACUGGGAAUAAAGGGUUUGAGGAUGGAGAUGAUGCUAU